rnacentral:lncRNA from 1 species
CUGCAUAUAUCGUUCGUUCAAGAACAAUAAUUUCUACGUGCAUGCUAGUUAUAUAUAUAUAUAUAGUAUCCUUGUAGUAUUAAUUAGCGUUGUGUAAUCUUUAUUUUCUCGUGGAUGUUCUAUAUAUAGUUAUAGUUGUAAUUCAUUUAUUAUGCAUGCAUGCUUGCUGGCUGGAUUCAUAGUUUUAAGUAACAACCAUUUUU